AGUGAACGCUGGCGGUAGGCCUAACACAUGCAAGUCGAACGGCAGCACAGUAAGAGCUUGCUCUUACGGGUGGCGAGUGGCGGACGGGUGAGGAAUACAUCGGAAUCUACUUUUUCGUGGGGGAUAACGUAGGGAAACUUACGGUAAAACCGCAUACGACCUACGGGUGAAAGCAGGGGAUCUUCGGACCUUGCGCGAUUGAAUGAGCCGAUGUCGGAUUAGCUAGUUGGCGGGGUAAAGGCCCACCAAGGCGACGAUCCGUAGCUGGUCUGAGAGGAUGAUCAGCCACACUGGAACUGAGACACGGUCCAGACUCCUACGGGAGGCAGCAGUGGGGAAUAUUGGACAAUGGGCGCAAGCCUGAUCCAGCCAUACCGCGUGGGUGAAGAAGGCCUUCGGGUUGUAAAGCCCUUUUGUUGGGAAAGAAAAGCAGCAGGUUAAUACCCCGCUGUUCUGACGGUACCCAAAGAAUAAGCACCGGCUAACUUCGUG
rnacentral:rRNA from 1 species